rnacentral:rRNA from 1 species
GACGAACGCUGGCGGCGUGCCUAAUACAUGCAAGUCGAGCGAAGUUUUUCUGGUGCUUGCACUAGAAAAACUUAGCGGCGAACGGGUGAGUAACACGUAAAGAACCUGCCUCAUAGACUGGGACAACUAUUGGAAACGAUAGCUAAUACCGGAUAACAGUAUUUCUCGCAUGAGAGAUAUUUAAAAGUUGGUUAUGCUAACACUAUGAGAUGGCUUUGCGGUGCAUUAGCUAGUUGGUGGGGUAAAGGCCUACCAAGGCGACGAUGCAUAGCCGACCUGAGAGGGUGAUCGGCCACACUGGGACUGAGACACGGCCCAGACUCCUACGGGAGGCAGCAGUAGGGAAUCUUCCGCAAUGGGCGAAAGCCUGACGGAGCAACGCCGCGUGAGUGAAGAAGGAUUUCGGUUCGUAAAGCUCUGUUGUUAGGGAAGAAUGGAUAUGUAGUAACUAUACAUAUAAGAGGCG